UUAAAAUGUGAAUACGAAUGAUCUUCCAAGUUUUAACCGUGAGUUAAUAUCUUUUGAUGAAUGCCGGUUGAGGUACCAGAAUCCAACAUUAAAAGUUUCCAUUUGAGAAAGUCAAGCAUCAAGAAGGAAUUCCUUUGUGGAAAAGUGAAUCGAAAAUGUGAUCAGCCUCAAAAUUCUUCAACUUUCUUAAACUUUCUAAACAAAAGGAACGUGAGUUAUAGCUUUCAACUAACUUCCUCGUAAUACUCCGUUCCCUUGAUCUUGCCUUCAUCAAAAUUAAACGUCGAAAUUGCAACUCCAGAAAGAUAUUUACUCCAGAAACAACUAUUUUCGCUUUCGAUCUAUCGGAGAUAAUUUCACGAGUGCAGAUAAGAGAUCGAAUGACAAAAUGUAAUGCAACGCGGACAUGAAACAUAAAAAUCGUUGGAUAACGUCGCGGGAACACGAAAACUUCGUUUCGUUCGUGUCGAAGUGGUACUAAACGACAUUCUAUACAGCACAGCAAUCUGGCCAAUUAAUCGAAUAUAUUCAAAGUAGAAAAAUAGAGAAUCGAAUUCUUGUCGUAGUAUUUCUUCCGGCAAUUUUUAAUUCAGACACUCGAGUCGUUUAUUAUUUCAAUUUCCGAAUAAAUCUAUGAUCGAGUGGAAAUGUAUGGCGGAAGAAAUUGUUCGCCGACGAAAAUCAUCGCUCGAAGGUUUCGAGUCUCGCGAGGAUCUAGGACGACCCGGGUGGUGUCUUAAUAAAUUCGGAAGGUUUUGACACGGCGAGCUCUUUUUAAACGGAUCUCGAGCUACGAAUCACGGCCACGUAAUAAUUGUAACUUUUUACUCGCGCGGAAAGCAAUUUUAAUCCUUUCUAGCUCCCUCGUCGGUUACUUCGCUUUAAUCGUCCUUAUUUCGAACCCGAACUAUGAUAUAAAACUGUUUUAGAAGAAUAAAGAGAAAAAGAACGUGCCACGACGAUGCACGCUCGAAUGUUUGCUUCGUGCAGGUUCGAAUUAACCCUUCGAGCUAAGCAUGGUUUAAAACAUUUUCUUAAGCUUCAUUUUAAUACUUGCUGCUGUUUCUGUCGAUUUCAUUG